rnacentral:tRNA from 1 species
GCCCGGAUAGCUCAGUCGGUAGAGCAUCGGUUUUUUAAUCUGAGGGUCCAGGGUUCGAGUCCCUGUUCGGGCG